CAUUGAUAAAAAAAUAGUUUGUCUCAUUCAAAAGAACUCGUAAGAUUACAUAUUAAACUCUAUUACCGAUUUGUCAUAUCUUGCUUAGUUCUCGAAAUAUUUAAACCGAAAUUAAUGAGCUUUCCGCCAUCUUGGACUAAUUCUUGACCUCAUUAACUGUGGUUUUGAUGACGUCAGGAGUUGGGUUAACCAUAUAAAACUACUCUAAAAUGACCAAGUAACAAUCCAAAAUUGUUUGAAAUGUUUUUAAUCAUUGCUAAUAAAAAAUUAGCGUGACCCCUCUCUUGACGUAACAUGCAUAUCCUCAAUAAUCCAAGAUGGCGAACAGCUCACUUCUUUCAGUCGAAAUAUUUUGCAAACUAAGCAAGAUAUAAACAAUCUGUAAUGGAGUUUAAUAUAUAGUUUUAAGAGUUCUUUCAAAUGAACUAAACCAAUUUUUUAUUGCCAAUGUCCUUUAA